UUAGGGUUCGAUUCCGGAGAGGGAGCCUGAGAAACGGCUACCACAUCCAAGGAAGGCAGCAGGCGCGCAAAUUACCCAAUCCCGACACGGGGAGGUAGUGACAAUAAAUAACAAUACAGGGCCCUCACGGGUCUUGUAAUUGGAAUGAGUACAAUUUAAAUCUCUUAACGAGGAACAAUUGGAGGGCAAGUCUGGUGCCAGCAGCCGCGGUAAUUCCAGCUCCAAUAGCGUAUAUUAAAGUUGUUGCAGUUAAAAAGCUCGUAGUUGAAUUUUGGGUCUGGCCGGGCGGUCCACCUUCCGGUGAGCACUGUUCCGACGCCGGACCUAUCCUUCUGGUGAGACGGCAUGCCCUUCGCUGGGUGAGUCGGGGAACCAGGACCAUUACCUUGAAAAAAUUAGAGUGUUCAAAGCAGGCAUUUGCUCGAAUACAUUAGCAUGGAAUAAUGAAAUAGGACGCGUGGUACUAUUUUGUUGGUUUCUAGGACCGCCGUAAUGAUUAAUAGGGAUAGUUGGGGGCAUUAGUAUUCAAUUGUCAGAGGUGAAAUUCUUGGAUUUAUUGAAGACUAACUUCUGCGAAAGCAUUUGCCAAGGAUGUUUUCAUUAAUCAAGAACGAAAGUUAGGGGAUCGAAGACGAUCAGAUACCGUCGUAGUCUUAACCAUAAACUAUGCCGACUAGGANCGGGCGAUGUUAUUUUAACGACUCGCCCGGCGCUUAUG
rnacentral:rRNA from 1 species